rnacentral:rRNA from 1 species
GACGAACGCUGGCGGCGUGCCUAAUACACGCAAGUCGAACGCUUCUUUCCUCCCGAGUGCUUGCACUCAAUUGGAAAGAGGAGUGGCGGACGGGUGAGUAACACGUGGGUAACCUACCCAUCAGAGGGGGAUAACACUUGGAAACAGGUGCUAAUACCGCAUAACAGUUUAUGCCGCAUGGCAUAAGAGUGAAAGGCGCUUUCGGGUGUCGCUGAUGGAUGGACCCGCGGUGCAUUAGCUAGUUGGUGAGGUAACGGCUCACCAAGGCCACGAUGCAUAGCCGACCUGAGAGGGUGAUCGGCCACACUGGGACUGAGACACGGCCCAGACUCCUACGGGAGGCAGCAGUAGGGAAUCUUCGGCAAUGGACGAAAGUCUGACCGAGCAACGCCGCGUGAGUGAAGAAGGUUUUCGGAUCGUAAAACUCUGUUGUUAGAGAAGAACAAGGACGUUAGUAACUGAACGUCCCCUGACGGUAUCUAACCAGAAAGCCACGGCUAACUACGUG